CCUCUUAAAAGAUGUUGACAGUUUUAUUUAUUUAUCCCGUAGAUAAGCAGAUCCUUCACCUUGAUCUUGUUGAUUAGGCAGUGAUUGAAAAUGUGCAAUGCCAACUCAGGGAAGGUGUUUGUGAUUCCAUGCUCAAGCUCAUCUAGGGUCAAUUCUCUGCCAAAGUGCACUGAUAGUUACAAUCCUUUGGAAUGACUAUCUCAAUGUUCUUGAAAAUUCUCUAAGACGUUCUUGGAUCUUGUGAUUCCUGUUGUAUUUCUCAAUUGUAGACUUGAAAUUGUCUUUCUAGCCUUGAUCUUCUAUCAGCUUGAGCC
rnacentral:lncRNA from 1 species